rnacentral:rRNA from 1 species
UAACAAGGAUUCCCUUAGUAACUGCGAGUGAAGCGGGAAGAGCUCAAAUUUGUAAUCUGGCGAUCUCUGGUCGUCCGAGUUGUAAUCUGUAGAGGCGUCGUCCGCGUCGGCCCGUGUACAAGUCUCCUGGAAUGGAGCGUCAUAGAGGGUGAGAAUCCCGUCCAUGACACGGACCACCGAUGCUUUGUGAGGUGCCCUCGAAGAGUCGCGUUGUUUGGGAAUGCAGCGCAAAAUGGGUGGUAAAUUCCAUCUAAGGCUAAAUAUUGGCGAGAGACCGAUAGCGAACAAGUACCGUGAGGGAAAGAUGAAAAGCACUUUGGAAAGAGAGUUAAACAGUACGUGAAAUUGUUGAAAGGGAAACGCUUGAAGUCAGUCGCGUCCUGGGGCAUUCAGCCUCGCUUCGGCUUGGUGUACUUGCCUUGGGAUGGGUCAACAUCAAUUUUGGCUGGUGGAUAAGGGUGAGGGGAAUGUAGCGUUGUUUCGGCGACGUGUUAUAGCCCCUCAUUGAAUACAUCGGCUGGGAUUGAGGACCGCAGCACGCCCUUGUGGCCGGGGGUUCGCCCUACGUCACGUGCUUAGGAUGUUGGCAUAAUGGCUUUAAGCGACCCGUCUUGAAACACGGACCAAGGAGUCUAACAUGCUUGCGAGUGUUCGGGUGGAAAACCCUUGCGCGUAAUGAAAGUGAAAGUUGGGAGCCUUCGCGAGGAGGUGCACCGACGCCCGGCCCUGAUGUGCUCUGACGGUGCUGCGGUAGAGCAAGUAUGUUGGGACCCGAAAGAUGGUGAACUAUGCCUGAAUAGGGUGAAGCCAGAGGAAACUCUGGUGGAGGCUCGUAGCGAUUCUGACGUGCAAAUCGAUCGUCAAAUUUGGG